GUUCUUGCCUGGAGAAUCCCAGGGACGGCGGAGCCUGGAGAAUCCCAGCCUGGUGGGCUGCCGUCUAUGGGGUCGCACAGAGUCGGACACGACUGAAGCGACUUAGCAGCAGCAGCAGCAGCAGCAGUGUUCUACAAAUGCGGCAUCCAACUUCUCCCUCUCUGUGUGUGGUGAAUAUUUACUCUGGAUCAAAGGUUUACCUCAAAGGGGUUGCAUAUCAAAGCACAGUGGAGUCCCCGUUCCAGCAGGAGAACCAAGGCAGCACUUGUGAGAGCCAGGCUGGGAUUUCUAGCUGCCCUCUGACCUCAGCCUCCAAAGGUCACAGUCUUGGCUCAGGAGCUCUUUGACCACCUGUGUUUACAUUUGGUCCGUGCUUUGUAUUGGGCUCAACACUCAGAGCUCAGCUGAAGCGAGCAAGGCCCCAGCCCUCGUGGAGCUACAUUCUUAGUUGGACUCCUAGACUGCUGUGAGUUCCACAGGCCACCUUUGUACAUCACUCCGUGUGUGCCAGGGGCUUCCCGAUAGUGGCAGCUGUUGGCUGAGUGAAUGAGGAAUUACAGUGGCCUCUCGCAGGGGGAUGGCACCCCUGGCAGAGUCGGUCCCACUGUGCGGCAGCCUACUAGAAGGGAUUCCUUACUCUAAUGGCUGUUACCACGGGCGUCUUCAUUUUCAUGUCCCAGGUGGUCCUAGUGGUAAGGAAUCCGCCUGCCAAUGCUGGAGACACAAGAGACUUGAGUUUGAUCCCUGGGUCGGGAAGAUCCCCUGGCAACCCACUCUAGUAUUCCUGCCUGGAGAAUCCUCAUGGACAGAAGAGCCUGGCAGGCUCCAGUCCAUGGAAUCACAAAGAGUCGGACAUGACUGAAGCGGCUUAACAUGCAUGCAUUUCUCCUACAUCAGUGGCCUGUUGGGGGGAAGGAGGAGGGACUCAGCAAGUGUUUGUGGAAUCAGUACCACCACCCAUUUCUUAGUACCCCAGGCUCUGCCACGGUGUCUGGCAUACAGCAGGCAAUCAAUGAACACCGAAGUGAAUGACCAGUGUCUCUCACGUCAGCUGUUCCCCUCCACCACUGUUCCCACAGGCUGCAUGUGAGCCUGUCACCGUGAAGGGCUUUGGAAAAUCCACCUGUGUUUUCACACUUGUAUUGCCCUCAAGAGGCCAGAAGCCAGAUCUCUCUUCAUGGUUAAUGUUGGAACAACCUUCACAGAGGUGGCUCUGCCUGAAAAGC